ACUAGAUAAGAGCAGUUAAGGUGAUUAGGAAGUUUCUGAGGAUACAACACACAUGGCUUGACAACGGGAAGAAACAAAAAAAGGGAGUCCACACAGAAAGGACAGCCAAGGACAAAAGCAAAGGGACAACAAUGAGAUUGCCAUGGUAAAGGACCAGAAAGUAGCCCGGUGGCUGGAGGAGUAAGUAGCCAUCAGCACAAAGUAUGUGGUCCAUUUUUAAUCAAUGACUAGUAGAUGGCUUCUCAUUCACCUGUCACCUCCACAGUGCUGGCAUUAUCACACAAUGAGGGUGUGCUCAGCCUCAGUCGCUUCUAUCCACGGGAUUUCCCAAGCAAGAAUACUGGAGUGGGAUGCCAUUUCCUUCUCCAGGGGAUCUUCCCCAGCCAGGGAUGGAACCCGCAUUUUCUGCGGUGGCAGGCGUGAGCCACCUGGGAAGCCCCAUAUCACGCAGUAGCCAGGAAUAAAAAAAAACUAGCCGAGUAAGGUAGAGCUACCUCGCGCUACAGUAUUUUUCAGCUAUCUCGCAAGAGCUGAUAAAAACUCCAUCCACUUCCAGCGAACCAAGAGUAGAAACACUAGUUCUAGAAGAAUCAGCGCAUCGUCUAGAGAGUGCCUGUGUGUUCCCGACGGCUUCACGAUAAGGCUCUUUUCGGUUUCAUCACCGUCUCCUCCCUUAAGGCCCCUACCGGCACACCCUCAAAGAUCCACAAUUUUGGAAAAUUCUCAGGAACCUCCUCCUGCGAGCGGUUCUUCAAGCCACUCCAUACGUAGCCUUGCCUCCCCAGCCUUGGGCCCUCCAAACUAGAAAGCAGCGCCCCUUCUCCAGACGGAGUAAACCAGCUCUCAUAGAGAAAACGAUUGUUCACAGACUAAAUCCGCAACGUCACAUCCAACCCCCGGCCCCAGCCGCCGCUUGACACCGGAAGUCGCCGGCGUGACGUGGACAAAACGCCCGUCGGGGACGUGUCCCCGUAGAACCAAUGGGCUCUGUCCACCUCCCUUUUCUGUUACCGUUUUGUCUAUUCACGGCCUGUGACGUCAGAGGGAGGCGCGGAGGGAGAUACGGAAACCAAGAGGGGCCAGGCGUCGCCGUCGCUCUGAAGGCAGAGGAGAGGCAAGAUGGUUUACAUCUCGAAUGGACAAGUGUUGGACAGCAGGAGUCAGUCCCCAUGGAGACUGUCUUUCAUAACAGAUUUCUUUUGGGGAAUAGCUGAGUUCGUGGUUUUGUU